CAGCCGCCACGGGAAUACGUAGGUGGCAAGCGUUGUCCGGAAUUAUUGGGCGUAAAGCGCGCGCAGGUGGUUUAAUAAGUCUGAUGUGAAAGCCCACGGCUCAACCGUGGAGGGUCAUUGGAAACUGUUAAACUUGAGUGCAGGAGAGAAAAGUGGAAUUCCUAGUGUAGCGGUGAAAUGCGUAGAGAUUAGGAGGAACACCGAUGGCGAAGGCAAUCCCCUGGGCCUGCACUGACGCUCAUGCACGAAAGCGUGGGGAGCAAACAGGAUUAGAUACCCAGUAGUCCCUGUCUCUUAUACA
rnacentral:rRNA from 1 species